AGAGUUUGAUCCUGGCUCAGAUUGAACGCUGGCGGCAUGCUUUACACAUGCAAGUCGAACGGCAGCGCGGGGCAACCUGGCGGCGAGUGGCGAACGGGUGAGUAAUACAUCGGAACGUACCCAGAAGUGGGGGAUAACGUAGCGAAAGUUAUGCUAAUACCGCAUACGUUCUACGGAAGAAAGUGGGGGAUCUUCGGACCUCAUGCUUUUGGAGCGGCCGAUGUCUGAUUAGCUAGUUGGUGAGGUAAAGGCUCACCAAGGCGACGAUCAGUAGCUGGUCUGAGAGGACGACCAGCCACACUGGGACUGAGACACGGCCCAGACUCCUACGGGAGGCAGCAGUGGGGAAUUUUGGACAAUGGGCGCAAGCCUGAUCCAGCAAUGCCGCGUGAGUGAAGAAGGCCUUCGGGUUGUAAAGCUCUUUUGCAGGGAAGAAACGGCUGGGGUUAAUACCUCCGGCUAAUGACGGUACCUGAAGAAUAAGCACCGGCUAACUACGUGCCAGCAGCCGCGGUAAUACGUAGGGUGCAAGCGUUAAUCGGAAUUACUGGGCGUAAAGCGUGCGCAGGCGGUUUUGUAAGUCUGACGUGAAAUCCCCGGGCUUAACCUGGGAAUUGCGUUGGAGACUGCAAGGCUGGAGUCUGGCAGAGGGGGGUAGAAUUCCACGUGUAGCAGUGAAAUGCGUAGAGAUGUGGAGGAACACCGAUGGCGAAGGCAGCCCCCUGGGUCAAGACUGACGCUCAUGCACGAAAGCGUGGGGAGCAACAGGAUAGAUACCCUGGUAGCCACGGCCUAAACGAUGCUACUAGUUGUCGGUCUUAAUUGACUUGGUACGCAGUUAACGCGUGAAUAGAACCGCUGGGAAGUACGUCCCAAGAUUAAAC
rnacentral:rRNA from 1 species